GCAGGAAAAUAUAUCACCCGCCACCAUCACCACCACCACCACCGCACCCUCUCUCCUUCUCUCGACGUGUGUGUGUGUAUCGGUUGCUGCGGCAUUGCCUCGUUUCGCUUUUUAUUUCCUCUUCGCGCGUCCAUACACAACGCCUCUCCCCCCUCCCCGCCCACGCGUACACAUCCGCCGCACGGCAGACAGGCACACAGGCAGCGCUGUGUUGGUGCUGCACCUGCCCAAGCACGCCCCCGCCCCUCGGCUUCACGUCAUCGCUGUGAUCUUCGAACGUCUUCGCCCCGGUUUCCGUUAUUUCUCCCUGUGGGGGGGUGUGGGGGUGGCUCGAGGAGGCUGUUGCCCCCUCCCUCCCCCCUCCCGUGUGGGUCUCGCCCAUCACCACCAUCACAUCACGCCCUCCUCCCAGACACAGGCACACGCACCACUCCUUAUGUGAACAGCGCUCUUCCUGCGCCGUUGUCGUGUGUAUACACCCGUACAGUGCGUAUAGCGGUGACUGUGGGUGCGCGCUAGCGUAUUGGCCGGUUUCAUCGUUCUACACCUGUCCUUGCCCAAUCGCCUCCCCUCCUCUUCCAGCCACAUCUGAGCGUAUCGUCGCCAUCGCCUGCGGGCUGCAAGGCGCCUCGCGCGUGCACGCCCUCCUCAGGGAGUGCGGAGAAGGCCCCAAAGCAAGACAAGGACCGUGAGGGAAAUCUGGGGGAGCACUCGAUUUCCUCGUGUGUCUGGCGAGGGAAGGCGGGAGGAGGAGGAAGAGGGGGGGUCAACCCAGUGCCAACGUAGUCGUCGGCUGCGUCGCCGCUCGCACGCACGCUACGCGCAAAGUCUUACACUGACGUGUAGCGGAGAAGGAACGCACUGGUUCUGCUGCCGUAGGGGGCACGCACGGGCAGAGCGAGGACUCACGGGUGAAGGAAGGGGAGAGCCGAAAGAAGACCUCGCGAUGCGCUACCCGCGCCCGACAUCCUUGCAGAAGGGCGAUGUGAUCAGUGAUGCGCGUAGCAGCAACAGCCCCACCCCGCUCUCCCUGGACGUGCCGUCGCCGGAGCAUGCGUGGACGGGCGUGGAGUUGACCCACACGCUGGACGGCACGCCUGCGGGAGGAGAGGGGGGCGCGGCGUUGGGGGCGGCGAGGACGUCCGCCAUCUUUUCUUUUCCCUUCAAUGCCGCUGCGGGUCGCCCGCUGCCAUCCUUUGCGCCGCUUCUCCCGACGCAGCGAACUCCGCUGUGGGUGGAUGCGACGAGCACCGAUGGCAGUGCGCACGUGCCGAAGCAGAAGAUGGGUGACGACGCCGCGGCAACACCGCAGCCUGCGCCCCCAUGUUCGAUAUCCAAGCCCCCCUUCCCCAGCGUUUCGGCGUCCGGGGCAACGACUAAAGGCUGUGGCGAGGGUCAUGAAGCUGCUGCCGCUUCUCCUGCUGCUCGCCGGCAGGUUCAACUCAGCCAGUGGGCCGUUUCUCCUUUGAACAGUCCGCUGUCCGUCCCCUCCGUCGCGGCAAGCACCCGCAGCCGAAACAAGCGCCGAUUCGAAGAUCUGACGCCGCUUGAGCAGAGGUUGGAAUCACCGGUGGCCUCCUCUUUCACCGACCUCUUUGUUGGCUUGGAGAGGCCGCGCCUGCGUGGUCGCCGACCGCGAGAGGGGCUUCAGCGCCGCGGCCACCACCGUCGCGUCCAUGCAGACGGCGUCUCCGAUGUUGAGGCGCAGGCGUCCCUGCUCUCCUCGUCGUCCUUAUCGCUGCAUCAGAUAUGCUCUACCAGCCAUUGUGAUGACACCUUCUCCGACGAGGACGACAUCGACGACGACAGCUACGAGAGCGCAACCGAGAACGAAGACGGCGCGAACACCCCUACCGUCUAUCGCAGCCCCCAGCUACCACACUGGUGGCGCAGCAUCGCGACCCCAGUACCAGGGACUCGCGUGUCUCUGAGACCGGACACGUGCCGCCACGAGUUUUGGUGGAUUGACCGACUCGGCUUCGAAGCUCACGAGAUUGUCCGCGUCGUCCUGAAGCACUCCCUCGAGGGGGUCGUGCUGCGCCGCAGCGGCGAGACGGCCGUUGUUGUGGAGUUUCGAAUUCUGCCGAAGCUAUUAAAAUCCACCAACUACGAUGUCGCGCGGCGAUCGCGCCAGCAGCGCGACGCGUCGCCAAGCCUGGCGGCAGAUGCGAGCGUGAGCGAGUCUCCCAGGAUGCCCUUCACGGAUAGCGCUCGCUCCCUCACCCCAACUGUCUCUCUCACCGGCUCCCAGCCGGUCGACGCGGCGGAGGCGGCGGAUUUGGGGGACCAACGCAUACGCAGUGGUAACCGCGGUAGCCGUACCGUCGGUAUUUCGUCUCCCGAUGUGCGUCUGCAGCUGCCGGAGCUAGUCCGAGCCGACAGCGGCGGCAAAGCAGAGUGCAGCCAAAGAGAGUUUGCGGAGCCGGCGACCAGUACGGCGAACGGCACCACCACAACCGCGGCCACAACGGUCACUACGACCAUAACGGCGACUGCAGGGUCAAUAGGCGGCCAGCUCACAUCGCCAUCGAGCUUUCCUCUGUCGCCGAAGCGUCCCACCAGGGAGUCCGUCUCUGGCGGCAGGGAGGAGAACACCCCCUCCACGCAGGUAUCUGUGCGCACAUCAUCCCUGCGCUCCCCUCUCUCGCCCAGCGCUCAUCCCUCACUCUCCCUUGCAGUCGGCAGCAUCGCGGUCACAGUGGCCGGCCGGUCGGCAGACUCAUUAGCAGAGCAAGACCCUCAAUGGCCUGUGCUGGCUCGUGUUCUCGAUACCACCACUAACCAGCACCAGCACCAGUCGUUGCGCCUGCCCGUCGCGCAAACAUCCCCGCGAACAAGCGCGGUAGCGGCAACGGUGAAGGCUGCCGAAAGCAUGAGCGGAAAUGGUGAGGCAGAGGCCGACGCGUCCGUGACGAAUGGCGGCGGCGGCGGCGGCGGUGAAAGCGCCCGCCCCUUGGCGCCCACGAGCGUAAAACCGAACGCCAACGGAAGCUCCACCAGCGUCCUCCCGGUGGCGAUGUCGCCAGUGCGGCGCCUCAUCCAAGAGAGCCGCCCCGCGACGAAGCUGGAUGCGGUGCACAACACGAGCAUCGUUGGUGGCGCCGAUGACGUCGUGGCCAGCGUGGAACCGACAUCGUCCAUGGGCACUCAAGGCAGCAUUGGCUGCCCGUCUCCCUGGCGCUCCUCUCCACAGCCGCAGUUGCCGUGCGGCAAGCUGCCUCCUACGGUCAAGGUGAACUCAAUGGUCGCGAACGGCACGGGGUCGGGGAGCUCGCACAGCUGCAUCCGCAACAACCACAGCGGCGGUAAUACUCACCUGUCUAGCAUCUCGGAGGAGGGAACGUUCCUCGUCCACGUGGAGCUGCACCACAAUUUGAAGAACGUCGGCGUGAAUCAACGGAGAAAUGGCGGCGCUGUCGUCGCUCCACCUGCUGCAUCCGCGUUCAAUCCGCUGCCUUCUGCCAGCAGUCACUCCGGCCCCGCGCUGCCCGGCAACUCGAACAGCGACUGGCAGCACGGCAGCCAGCGAUCGCAGCAACCGCACCCGUGGACUGUAGGGCGACAGCUGUCGCCACGGCAACCUCACCGCCAGCAUACAUUGAGCAGCCCCAUCAGCGCCGCCAACUUGUACCCCGACACAACAGAAAAGGUGGUUGCGGCUGCUGCAGAGGCUGCGCGCUUGGAGGACGCCAUUGUUCCAACUACAGCAGCGGCAGCAACUCCCUCGCAGCAGCAACCGGCGGUUUGGGGUACGCCGCAGCACGCUAUGGACGAAGACGACGACUCCGUUGUGGCGAUUCUCACGCUGCCGAUCUCUGUGUGUACGCCGAUCGUCGUGGCGCGCCUCCAUGCGAUGCGUAUCCUGCAUCCCCUUCUGCCUGCCAUUACCGCCCUGCACGGCCCCGCCUUCUCGGCCAGCAUAGCUGGUGAUUACCGCAACUCGGAUAACACGGAUACAGACAGCAGCGAUGAAGCGCUGGUCACCGCACCGCAGCCGUCAAACGCGACACCGCCGUCUUCGCCCGCAGCGGGUGCGCAGGGCCCCGACUACGCUGGCGCUAUUCGCCUCCUCAGCGAAGCGAUCGAAUUGUUUAAGGAAGAGAAGAACGCCGAGGAGGAGGCGCCGCCGUCGAUGAUGCCCACCCCAGAAGACCACGCGCCGACGCGUGCCCGCGAUCUUUCUAUCCUGUACACAGUCCGCAGCCACCUCCUCUUCCACGCCUCGCCGACGUGCCUUCGCGACAGCCUUCAAGAUGCCGAGGCGGCACUGCGGUGCUGCCCCGCCAGGGAUCAUAUCAACCCCACCUACGAGGUACUCGCCGCAAACCUGAUCAGCUUUGGCUACGUAUCCGAGGUGGAGGGCCUGGCCGGGCACUUGCGGCACCGCUGGCGUGCCGCAUCGCCGCUGCUUCUCCGUCUCGGCCGCGUCACACAGGUGAUGGUGUCGUACGCGUCCAUCUUUCUGCGCCAGCAGCUUCCGACGUCCACGUUGCGCCUGUGCGCCGGUGGCAGUGCAAACAUGAUGCUGCCCAGCAAUACCAGCGACACCGCCACGGGAAGCCCGUCGCUGACGGCCAUCUCGCUCUCGCCCCGGUCGACCCCGCUACCGACGGAGCACACCAGCUCCUAUCUCGGUCACCGUGGCGACGAGCGCUCGUCGCGUCCUGAGGUAGCUGCCGCCACCGCCAACACGCUCCUCCAGCCGCACAAGCUGCCGUACGAGGUCUGUCCGCUGCCUUUGGGCCGCCACGGCAGAACCCUGCACAACCGCGACGAGCCGCCGCGGCAGUCGUCGCCGAUAUCGACGUCGCCUCUGUCCUUCCCCGCGACAGGCGCCGACAGCGCCAGCGCAGACUCGAUGCCGCACCUGCGCUCACCGCUUCGCGGUUCCCGUCAAUCCAGCCGUCCCUUCCGUCCUGGCGCCGACGUGUGCCACCGCCGCCUAUUCCUCCUCGAGAUGCUCUUCCCCAGCAUGAACCCAGCGCCGGUGAGUCCGCUGCCGCUUCCCGUGUCGCGCGGGUACCGUGGCGCGACGGGGCGACGAGGCUGGCAGCCGAACAGCACCAAGGUGACGAUCAGUGGCGGCAAUGACAACGCCACCCCCUCCAACGUCGUCAUUGUCCCGAAAACCGAGACGACGCGGCCGGUGAGGGCGGAAGACUUCAUGUACGAUCGGAACUCCAUGCUGGCCCUCCUGGUCGCCACGGCCGACACGACAAUGCAGUGGGGCACGGUGCCGAUGUGCUACUUCUGCCGCCACAUCCGCCUCUCCGCCACGCGCCGCAUUCAAAAAGAUGAGGUCAUCUUCGUGGAGCGCCCAGCCAUUCUGAUGCCCUUCUGGCCGCUGCUCCCGUCGCGAUUGGCGUCGGCGUCUACCGGUGCCGCUGCGCCCCGUAGCAGCAGCGGCACCGGCGCCGGGGUGAGCGACAGGCCUGUCAGCACUACGCCAGAGCCGUCGUGCUGCGCGCAGUGUGGGCGACAACGGCUUGCGAAACCUGUGAACUGCCCUGGCGGUUGUCACUCCGUCUACUGCUCCGAGCAGUGCCGGCAACGGGCGCUGCGGCUGUAUCACGUGGUGGAGUGUGGCGGCGUUCCACCAGACCCCAACAACGCGGGCGUUCUCGAGCCUGGCGAUGACGUGGGGGCGCGAGUGCGACGCACCGUGGCGGUGCUGCAGGACGUCUUCUCCGACUGGAAUAGUUACUUGCACCACCUCGCUCGCUGGGAUACCCCGAGCACCCGCCUCACAGCUCAGCACGCCGCGUGCUCGCCAGUGACAACGCCCGGUGCGUCACCCGUGUCGCCAUCGCCGGUAGGUGAAAUGCCUAGACAUGACGCAUCCCAGCAGCAGCAGCAGCCCGGUGGUUCGGACGGUGAGACGCCUGCGCAGGAGAAGCGGAGCUGCGCGCCGCCACCAAUCCUGACCGUCACGGCGAUGCGGGUGGUGGCGAGGCUUGAGGCGAUGAUGCUGAGUUUGGCUCUGCCGCUGGAGCUGCUACCUCAGAUGCAGAACCACCCGACGUGGACAGCAGAGCGGCACGCGAUGAUGCGCGCUGCAGCUCGCACGCUGCGUCAACGCGGACUUAUGGUGCCGGCGUCAACCACACGCGGCGUCAACUUGUACUGCACGCAUGUGGACCCCCAGCGACUCUUGCUGCUCGAGGUGCUGUUGCAGCAGCUCUCCGUUCCCUUCUUCGCCGACUUCAACUACCGCGCUUCGCCCACCGUCUGGGAGAAGGUGAGUCGGAUUCCGUGCGAGGUGGCGCGCAGCUCCGGCAACGCGGUCGUCACGACCGGUCCUGAAAAAUCGGUGGCCAGCCCGGUGGACGGCUUGGGGCCGGACAUGUUCCGCAGCCUGCCCCUCCCACACACGCCGUCGCCCGUGCCCGCCAAAGCGCCGCAGCAACGCAACUGUUUUGUGGAGCUGACGCCCGCGCAGUUGGAGGAGCUGCUCUGCGACUUGCACAGCAUGCUGCAUCGAGUCUACCAGGUUGUCGCGAAGGAGCUGGCCGACGUGCCCUCCAUCCCCCUCUGUGGCGCGGAGGGGGAGGAAAAGAACAGCCUCGAGUGGGGCCUCCCCGGUCGGUGGAACUGUGUCGAACUUCUCGGCUUCCUCAACAGCACGCGAGCAUUCCAGCAGAUCAGCGACUUUGCCUUGACGAGUUGGGCGGUGGUGUACCCGCGCGACAUGGAGCCGCCAAACGUCGCUGCCGCAAUGGCGGCGGACCACCGUAACACGCCACAGGCCCGGCCCAUCUUUGUAGGCGACGAUCGCCCGCUGAACAUCAAUCCCCACCACCACCACCACCACCACCCCAACCAGAGCAGCACCAUCACGAACGAGUUCAGCCACGCGAACCCGAGCGACAUGAACACGGUUGCGGUGCCACUCGUCGUGAUUAGUCCAUGGUCAUGCUUGACGGUGGACCUGCACCCGAUUCUGGGCAACGUCCCCAGCGGCGUCAUACACUCUCGCUUCAUGAUCGAGCACGAGCAGCGGCGACGUAUGCUCGCCUACUGCGCGGCCGCAGCAGGGCGUCGCGGUGGCGACGGCAUCGGCGGGGGUAGCGUGAGCGAGGAUUCUUUUCUCUCUGUCCACUCGGCAUCCUCGACAUCGGCGGCGGCGCUGCUCACCGGCGACGACUCUGCUCGGACAGGGUCGUUGCGCGACAAUCUCAACCUUCAGCUGCUCGAGGAGGCUGCUCAGCGCAGCUGCUCCAACCUGCACAUCUCCCUCGUCUAUACCCCAUCCAAAGAGCCCGCAGUGCUCGCCGUGGCAAAGAAAAACAUCACCCAUGGGGACGUGCUGUGGUGGGAGUCACUGAGCUGCCGCGAGUACCUUUCCGCGCUCCUGUAGCGGCGCGCGUCAUGUGGCACACAUGAAGACGCUCGCCCUCCAUCUUCCCGACCUCGCGACGGGGCGAACGUGCUUGUGUCUGUCUGCCGCCUCCGCGGAGGUAUCGAGAGGGGGGGGGCGUGGCCGCACGGGAUGCAGCGAAAGAUAUGAAUACGCAUAUAUGUGUAUAUGUAUGUACAGUUUGCUGCUUUGUUUUCGUAUCUGUGCGACUCUAUCCUCUUCCGGCGUGUAUUUGCGUUUUUCGAAGUGGUUAAUAAACGAUGCAGAGCCCUGCACGCACGUCCGUGUGCGUGCAUGUGUGUGUGUGUGUGUGUGUGCUUGUGUUCGCGUGACGACGGCAAGGAGGAAGACGUGAGUGGGGGUGCCAGAGAGUUUGAACAACAGACUCAGCUAUACAAGGAGCCUACUGCUUUACGCCCCUCCCGCUCUGUAAGGACUACGCUCUCGUUUUUCAUCACGGCUCUUUGCCUCCCUCCUCACUCAUGUCUCAUUUCUGAUGUUGUUCCUUCGUUUUCUCUCUCGGGAUGUCGCUGACACGCGGGCCAGUCGAUGGGCCGCCGCCUCACCUCCCAAGGCAACUGCCAUAUCCAUGGCACCUUUGCUUUUCUUCCGUUGAACCAUGGUCCUGUGCUUGCCACAUGCACAUAC
rnacentral:misc_RNA from 1 species